GGAUGUGAGGGCGAUCUGGCUGUGACAUCUGUCACCCCAUUGAUCACCAGGGUUGAUUGGGCUAAUCUGGCUGUCGAGGCGAGUGUCCCCUUCCUCCCUCACCGCUCCAUGUGCGUCCCUCCUGAAGCUGUGCACUUGGUCGAAGAGGAUGGCCUUCCCCAAUAGAGACAGACCAGUCUUCAGUCGAGGGUAUAUGAGUAGCUGCGCUCCCCUGCUAGAACCUCCAAACAAGCUCUCAAGGUAAUAACUGGGUGGAGACACCACUGAGUCAUGACUUUGCUGAGGCAAGAAUGACUCAUGGCUUAAGAACAAUUCUGAGGGCAUCUCUGCAGGUGGCACAUUCAAGUGCUUU
ensembl:misc_RNA 7SK 7SK RNA